rnacentral:rRNA from 1 species
UACGGAGUGUGCGAGCGUUACUCGGAAUCACUGGGCAUAAAGCGCACGUAGGCGGGUUUUCAAGUCGGUUGUGAAAUCCCUCAGCUUAACUGAGGAACUGCGACCGAUACUGUUUACCUUGAGGACGAGAGGGGAGAGUGGAACUUCUGGUGGAGCGGUGAAAUGCGUAGAUAUCAGAAGGAACGCCGGUGGCGAAAGCGACUCUCUGGCUCGUAACUGACGCUGAGGUGCGAAAGCUUGGGUAGCAAACGGG